UUGGAGUUAUUGGAAAUGGAGAAUGGGGAAUCAAUAUCUUAUCAAUCUACUAAUCAAUAUCCUAUAAAGUCAAGCAGAAUGUUGGAGGCUUUGAAAUCUAGGUAAAUAAACUAAAGUUAAACAUACUUAGGGUGGAUAAUGGCGAAUAGAGUAUUUACGACGAAUCAAUGACAAGUAUGGCGAGCAAGGGAGCUGCGACAUUCGAAUGGUAGCAGGUAGCGGCAACGUUCAGAUGGUAGAAAGUAGAGGCGGCGUUCGGAUGGCGGAUUGUAAGAAAAGGAAGAGGGAAAUCGGAGGGUAGCCACGACGUUCAGAGGGUGGAUUGUGAGAAAAUGAUUAGGAAAAAUGGUGGGUAGUCACAAAGUUCGGAUGGUGAGUUGCGAGAAGAGGAAGAGGGAAAUCAGAUGGCACUACAAGAAAAUGGGCUUUUAAUUGCUUUGGAGGUUAACCCUUUUACAAUAGGCUAUUAAAAAGAAAAAAAAGGGGGAAAAUCCCGCCCAAGAAAAAAAGAAAAAGAGGGAAAAAAAAGGGCAAUAUGUGCGCGUUUCCUCUUUUUCAUUUUCCACAUUGCUCUAGUCCGUCUGAAAGGGUAUGAAGAAUGAAAGGGGCCGAUCUGAAAGAAUGAAAAACCCUAGUCCUUGGAUCUCACGAUUUCUGUUCGUCUCUUUACUGCCAGCGGUCGUUCUACCAACGACGACCGUUCAACCGAAAAACAAGAGCAAAAAGUCCCUCCCUCUCUCGACGGCUGUUCAACCGUCUGUCGAACAUUGCUCCAUCACCGAGCGUUGUUCUUCUUCAAUUUGGUCAAGGUCGCUCUGUCGUCGUCGUUCCGAGCGUUCUUCUUCAGCCGAACGUUCAUUCGUUCCAAACAUCUUCAGCCGAAUGUUCAUUCGUUCCAAACUUCUUCAGUCGAACGUGAAGGUCAAGCGUUGUUCUAUACGCCGUUCUCAACACGCUUCUUGAGGUUUAGAUCUUUUCAAGCUUCUUUGCGUUUUUCAGCUUCGAUUGGUUCUUCUUCCAGUGUCUUGAUUUUGUUAAAGGAGAGUGGUGGAGAUUUAAUAGUUAGGUUAAAUCUUGUGGUACGCCCCCUUCUUCUUUUUUCUUAAUCGUUUCAUUUCACUCUAAAACAUAUACUAAAUCCUCAAAUUUAAUUAUUUGCCUUCCACUAUUUCAAAGUUUGCUGAGCUUCUCCCUAUUUUGGAAGUGCUGAAGAUUUAAUAGUUAGGCUAAAUCUUGUGGUACGCCCCCUUUUUCUUCUUCCUUCAAUCGCUUUAAAUCAAAUCUAUCACUGCCUUCCUCCACUUUGCCUUCACAUACACCAUUGUUAACUCUCUCUUUAGGUACGCUUCUUAAAUUUUUUGGUUUCUUUUUAAUUUUAUAUAUCAUCUAUUACCUUUAACCUUGAUUUUGAAUGUUUUUCGAGAAAUUCCAUUCUGUUUUGCUGUGAUGUUAUUAAAAAUGAAUUGUAUAUGAAAAUCUUACUCAUCGCAUUCCAAUUGUGUAUUGUUUUCUUUCUUACUAUUUAACUUUAUUUUGCUUCUUACUAUUGUAAUUCUCUUUUAUUAUAUUGAAACUUGCUUUACCUUGAGAGGUUGAGCUUCAGGACAUAAGCCUCAAAAUUCUUUUAAAAGACCUAAAAUUUUCUUCUUUGUAAAUGGUGCUUACGGUGUUCUGAAAUCUGCAAGUCUUUACUGGAUACCUGUUAGCUGAAUCUCUCAUUGGACCUGGAGGUUUAAGCUUUGUCAGUGAAAUGUGCAAGUUGAUGAAAGAACAAUUGUACAAAGCCCAAGAAUGUGAUGGCCAAGAAUUGUACAAAGCCCUAUUACCUUUUUAUAACGAAUGGAUAGUAUAGGUUGAUCAUCAUGUUGGAUUACAUGAUAUAUUAGUGACUAUCUUUUUUGAGAAUACAUAACCAUAGAAAUAGCAUCUUGUACAGAGCAUUAUAAAUAUUUUGAGUUGUAUUUUGCGCACGGCAAUAUGUAAGAAUCAUUUUUUGUUA